rnacentral:rRNA from 1 species
CACUAUCGUUAACUGAAUACAUAGGUUAACGAGGCGAACCGGGGGAACUGAAACAUCUAAGUACCCCGAGGAAAAGAAAUCAACCGAGAUUCCCCCAGUAGCGGCGAGCGAACGGGGAGCAGCCCAGAGUCUGAAUCAGCUUGUGUGUUAGUGGAACGGUCUGGAAAGUCCGACGGUACAGGGUGAUAGUCCCGUACACCAAAAUGCACAGGUUGUGAACUCGAAGAGUAGGGCGGGACACGUGGUAUCCUGUCUGAAUAUGGGGGGACCAUCCUCCAAGGCUAAAUACUCCUGACUGACCGAUAGUGAACCAGUACCGUGAGGGAAAGGCGAAAAGAACCCCGGCGAGGGGAGUGAAAAAGAACCUGAAACCGUGUACGUACAAGCAGUGGGAGCACCUUCGGGUGUGACUGCGUACCUUUUGUAUAAUGGGUCAGCGACUUAUAUUCUGUAGCAAGGUUAACCGUAUAGGGGAGCCGCAGGGAAACCGAGUCUUAACUGGGCGUUAAGUUGCAGGGUAUAGACCCGAAACCCGGUGAUCUAGCCAUGGGCAGGUUGAAGGUUGGGUAACACUAACUGGAGGACCGAACCGACUAAUGUUGAAAAAUUAGCGGAUGACUUGUGGCUGGGGGUGAAAGGCCAAUCAAACCGGGAGAUAGCUGGUUCUCCCCGAAAGCUAUUUAGGUAGCGCCUCGUGAAUUCAUCUUCGGGGGUAGAGCACUGUUUCGGCUAGGGGGUCAUCCCGACUUACCAACCCGAUGCAAACUACGAAUACCGAAGAAUGUUAUCACGGGAGACACACGGCGGGUGCUAACGUCCGUCGUGAAGAGGGAAACAACCCAGACCGCCAGCUAAGGUCCCAAAGUCACAGUUAAGUGGGAAACGAUGUGGGAAGGCACAGACAGCCAGGAUGUUGGCUUAGAAGCAGCCAUCAUUUAAAGAAAGCGUAAUAGCUCACUGGUCGAGUCGGCCUGCGCGGAAGAUGUAACGGGGCUAAACUGUGCACCGAAGCUGCGGCAGCGACACUAUGUGUUGUUGGGUAGGGGAGCGUUCUGUAAGCCUGCGAAGGUGGCCUGUGAGGGUUGCUGGAGGUAUCAGAAGUGCGAAUGCUGACAUAAGUAACGAUAAUGCGGGUGAAAAGCCCGCACGCCGGAAGACCAAGGGUUCCUGUCCAACGUUAAUCGGGGCAGGGUGAGUCGACCCCUAAGGCGAGGCCGAAAGGCGUAGUCGAUGGGAAACAGGUUAAUAUUCCUGUACUUGGUGUUACUGCGAAGGGGGGACGGAGAAGGCUAUGUUAGCCGGGCGACGGUUGUCCCGGUUUAAGCAUGUAGGCGGAGGUUCCAGGUAAAUCCGGUACCUUUUAACGCUGAGGUGUGAUGACGAGGCACUACGGUGCUGAAGUAACAAAUGCCCUGCUUCCAGGAAAAGCCUCUAAGCAUCAGGUAACAUUGAAUCGUACCCCAAACCGACACAGGUGGUCAGGUAGAGAAUACCAAGGCGCUUGAGAGAACUCGGGUGAAGGAACUAGGCAAAAUGGUGCCGUAACUUCGGGAGAAGGCACGCUGAUAUGUAGGUGAAGCCCCUGCGGGUGGAGCUGAAAUCAGUCGAAGAUACCAGCUGGCUGCAACUGUUUAUUAAAAACACAGCACUGUGCAAACACGAAAGUGGACGUAUACGGUGUGACGCCUGCCCGGUGCCGGAAGGUUAAUUGAUGGGGUUAUCCGUAAGGAGAAGCUCUUGAUCGAAGCCCCGGUAAACGGCGGCCGUAACUAUAACGGUCCUAAGGUAGCGAAAUUCCUUGUCGGGUAAGUUCCGACCUGCACGAAUGGCGUAAUGAUGGCCAGGCUGUCUCCACCCGAGACUCAGUGAAAUUGAACUCGCUGUGAAGAUGCAGUGUACCCGCGGCAAGACGGAAAGACCCCGUGAACCUUUACUAUAGCUUGACACUGAACAUUGAGCCUUGAUGUGUAGGAUAGGUGGGAGGCUUUGAAGCGUGGACGCCAGUCUGCGUGGAGCCAACCUUGAAAUACCACCCUUUAAUGUUUGAUGUUCUAACGUUGGCCCCUGACCGGGGUUGCGGACAGUGUCUGGUGGGUAGUUUGACUGGGGCGGUCUCCUCCCAAAGAGUAACGGAGGAGCACGAAGGUUAGCUAAUCCUGGUCGGACAUCAGGAGGUUAGUGCAAUGGCAUAAGCUAGCUUGACUGCGAGCGUGACGGCGCGAGCAGGUGCGAAAGCAGGUCAUAGUGAUCCGGUGGUUCUGAAUGGAAGGGCCAUCGCUCAACGGAUAAAAGGUACUCCGGGGAUAACAGGCUGAUACCGCCCAAGAGUUCAUAUCGACGGCGGUGUUUGGCACCUCGAUGUCGGCUCAUCACAUCCUGGGGCUGAAGUAGGUCCCAAGGGUAUGGCUGUUCGCCAUUUAAAGUGGUACGCGAGCUGGGUUUAGAACGUCGUGAGACAGUUCGGUCCCUAUCUGCCGUGGGCGCUGGAGAAUUGAGGGGGGCUGCUCCUAGUACGAGAGGACCGGAGUGGACGCAUCACUGGUGUUCGGGUUGUCAUGCCAAUGGCAUUGCCCGGUAGCUAAAUGCGGAAGAGAUAAGUGCUGAAAGCAUCUAAGCACGAAACUUGCCCCGAGAUGAGUUCUCCCUGAGACUUUAAGUCUCCUGAAGGAACGUUAAAGACGAUGACGUUGAUAGGUCGGGUGUGUAAGCGUAGCGAUACGUUGAGCUAACCGAUACUAAUGAACCGUGAGGCUUAACCUUACAACGCCGAAG